rnacentral:sRNA from 1 species
ACAACAACAAUAACAAGCAAAGCCCCACACAAUAAGAACAAGACGUAACGACUCCAAAACAACAAGAACAACAAGAUGGAGGCGCAGCUAACUGAUUCUUUUGGAGAGGAGUUGCCCUUGGGGUUCGCCCCACGACCAGGCCGAGAACAAUAAAACUGCCCCGAGGCAGCACCCGUACUGGUUGGAUCACGCAAGUGUCAUGGCAGCAUCAGCGUCCAAAGAAAUCCGUUUGCUAUUGGCUCCCGCUUUCAGGGAGCACCCAACCGACCACGGUCGUUUGGGAAGGGCGAAACAACAAAAACAACGCGCCCUCAAUAACAAUAAAAACGAAGCACGCACCAACUUGGGGGGGAGCUUAGGCUCCCCCAGUAGCUUCCGCUCCCCGGAUCCCCGCCUGCCGCU